rnacentral:rRNA from 1 species
GAAGACGGUCUUAGUAAUCGUGUCAUACCUGAUCUCAUUCCGAACUCAGAAGUCAAGGCGAUUACGCUGUUUGUGUUAGUGGCCGACAAGCUGCGAAGCAGCAGUGCCGUCUCAA